rnacentral:rRNA from 1 species
ACUGCUCAGUAACACGUGGAUAACCUGCCCUUGGGUCCGGCAUAACCCCGGGAAACUGGGGAUAAUUCCGGAUAACGCACAUAUGCUGGAAUGCUUUAUGCGUAAAAUGGAUUCGUCUGCCCAAGGAUGGGUCUGCGGCCUAUCAGGUAGUAGUGGGUGUAAUGUACCUACUAGCCAACAACGGGUACGGGUUGUGAGAGCAAGAGCCCGGAGAUGGAUUCUGAGACAUGAAUCCAGGCCCUACGGGGCGCAGCAGGCGCGAAAACUUUACAAUGCGGGAAACCGUGAUAAGGGGACACCGAGUGCCAGCAUCAUAUGCUGGCUGUCCAGGUGUGUAAAAUACACCUGUUAGCAAGGGCCGGGCAAGACCGGUGCCAGCCGCCGCGGUAACACCGGCGGCCCGAGUGGUGAUCGUGAUUAUUGGGUCUAAAGGGUCCGUAGCCGGUUUGGUCAGUCCUCCGGGAAAUCUGAUAGCUCAACUAUUAGGCUUUCGGAGGAUACUGCCAGACUUGGAACCGGGAGAGGUAAGAGGUACUACAGGGGUAGGAGUGAAAUCUUGUAAUCCCUGUGGGACCACCUGUGGCGAAGGCGUCUUACCAGAACGGGUUCGACGGUGAGGGACGAAAGCUGGGGGCACGAACCGGAUUAGAUACCCGGGUAGUCCCAGCCGUAAACGAUGCUCGCUAGGUGUCAGGCAUGGCGCGACCGUGUCUGGUGCCGCANGGAAGCCGUGAAGCGAGCCACCUGGGAAGUACGGCCGCAAGGCUGAAACUUAAAGGAAUUGGCGGGGGAGCAC